rnacentral:tRNA from 1 species
UAUAAAGUGAUGUAUGAUGCAUAAAGAAUUUUGAUUUCUUAGGUCUUAGUUUGAUUCUAAGCUUUAUAG